rnacentral:snRNA from 1 species
GUGUUCACUUCAGCAGCACAUAUACUAAAAUUGGAACAAUACAGAGAAGAUUAGCAUGGUCUGUGCACAAAGAUGACAUGGAAAAUCAUGAAGCGUUCCAUAUUUUU